ensembl:lncRNA
CGGCUCAGGGGGAGCCUGUUCUCUCUGCCCGAGUCUGCUCCGUCAGCACAAAAAAGCCUCCACAAGAGGAAGCUGCAGUUUGAAGAGGCAAAGGGCAUUCACUAGCUAAAAAUAAGAAAGGGAGCUCAGAGCCGGACACCAUCGGUGGCAGCCGCCCGACGGGCCCUCCUGCUACCUAGAGCAGGCGCAAACCUCUACGGAGCUGGUGGCCAGCCUGCCUGCGGCUCGGACACUCCUUAGGUGGGUCAAGAGGGCCUCGUCAGCCACAGCCGCUGCCGCCUCCUCUCUGGACCCAAAGGAAAAUGCCACUGAGCCAACGGAGGCCUCUUCCCACUUAGCCCAGGGGAUGGCCUCAUGGCAGCCUCCAAAGAUGGCGCCCUUCCCCUGCCACGGGGAGGUAAGUGACGGGAGACUUAGGCUGCCCCAGUGACCUGGAAGAGAAGCAGGAGGGGCACGCCGGGGCCCAGAACCUGCACGUUCAGUUUUCAAAUGCCAAGACUCCAGGGAUGAGUUUGGUUUCCUUUUAUUAGGUCAAGAUCCUUAAACAAGCAGCCAGUUCCAGGGAAUAAUUGCUUUAUAUUUGGGGAGUUCUUUUUAGUUCAUUCAAAAAGGGCUGCCCUGAACUUGGAGAGACUUGAUCAAACUGCUCGCCUCUGCAAGGAGGGGCCGAGAGAGGGAGGGAGAGAAUUCAGGAUUCCAAAUGAAAAACCAAAAACAUGUCAAAAAUUGUCUACAUGGAAUGGGAACAAUUUCACUCAGAAGUGCUGCCCCAUCCAGCAUCGUGCAAAAGCCAGAGUUCCGACUCUCUCUCUUUUCUUUCUUUCUUUCUUUCUUUCUUUCUUUCUUUCUUUCUUUCUUUCUUUCUUUCUUUCUUUCUUUCUUUCUUUCUUUCUUUCUUUCUUUCUUUCUUUCUUUCUUUCUUUCUUCCUUCCUUCCUUCCUUCCUUCCUUCCUUCCUUCCUUCCUUCCUUCCUUCCUUCCUCCCUUCUUCCUUUCUUCCUUUCUUUCUUUCUUUCUUUCUUUCUUUCUUCCUUCCUUCCUUCCUUCUUCCCUUCCUUCCUUCCUUCCUUCCUUCCUUCCUUCCUUCCUUCCCUUCCUUCCUUCUUUCCUCCCUCCCUCCCUCCCUCCCUCCCUCCCUCUCUCUCUCUUUCUUUCCUUUCUUUCUCCCUUACCUUCUGUCUUGGAGUCAAUACUGUGUAUUGGUUCCAAGGCAGAAGAGUGGUAAGGGCUAG